CCUACGGGGGACAGCAGUGAGGAAUAUUGGUCAAUGGGCGUAAGCCUGAACCAGCCAAGUCGCGUGAGGGAUGAAGGUUCUAUGGAUCGUAAACCUCUUUUAUAAGGGAAUAAAGUGUGGGACGUGUCCUGUUUUGUCUGUACCUUAUGAAUAAGGAUCGGCUAACUCCGUGCCAGCAGCCGCGGUAAUACGGAGGGGGCAAGCGUUGUUGCGGGUUGUCUGGGCGGAAAGGGUGUGUAGGUGGUUUGAGAAGUUAGAUUUGUAAUACCCAGGGCGUAACUCGGGUGCUGCAUUUGAAACUGUGAGACUUGAGUAGGGGAGAGGAAGGUGGAAUGCGUGGUGUAGCGGUGGAAUGCGUAGAUAUUACGAAGAACAUCGAUGGCGAAGGCGACUAUCUGGACAGCAACUGACACUGAGGCACGAAAGCGUGGGGAGCAAACAGGAUUAGAUACCCGAGUAGUC
rnacentral:rRNA from 1 species